rnacentral:tRNA from 1 species
AAAAUUCUAAUAUGGCAGAUUAGUGCAUUGGAAA